GCAGAUGGUGGGAAAGGAUAGAGCAGUUUGCAAUCUGUAUCUGCAGUUCAAUGCUGGAUGAAUCUUAUGAGAAAGAAGGUAGCAGAUGGUUGUCACUCCCAGGAGAUGGAAUCUAAAGAAGCUGAGGGAUUGGAGGAGUGGAUGGAACUUGCUGUCCAGCUUUUGGAUUUAAACCACCAGGAAGACUGUACAAUGUACAAGUGAGGGCAUAUACUACACAUGUGAGAAAAUAAAAGAUCACCACGAGGGCAUACUGAUGUUAAACAUUCAUAACCAUCAUCUGGUCAAGAAUGCUAAAAAUCACACAACAC